UACGAAGGGGCUAGCGUUGCUCGGAAUCAUACGUGGGCGUAAAGGGUGGCGUAGGCGGGUCUUUAAGUCAUGGGUGAAUCCUGGAGCUCAAACUCCCAGUAACUAGCCUUGAUUACUGAGGUAUCUUGAGUUCGGGAGAGGUGGAGUGGAACUGCGAGUGUAGAGGUGAAAAUUCGUAUGAGUAUACAGGAGGAACAACCAACUAG
rnacentral:rRNA from 1 species